rnacentral:rRNA from 1 species
CCUACGGGUGGCUGCAGUGGGGAAUAUUGGGCAAUGGGCGCAAGCCUGACCCAGCAACGCCGCGUGAAGGAAGAAGGCUCUCGGGUUGUAAACUUCUUUUAUCAGGGACGAAGCAAGUGACGGUACCUGAUGAAUAAGCCACGGCUAACUACGUGCCAGCAGCCGCGGUAAUACGUCGGUGGCAAGCGUUAUCCGGAUUUACUGGGUGUAAAGGGAGUGUAGGCGGGAAGGCAAGUCAGAUGUGAAAACCAGGGGCUCAACCUGUGGCCUGCAUUUGAAACUGUUUUUCUUGAGUACUGGAGAGGCAGACGGAAUUCCUAGUGUAGCGGUGAAAUGCAUAGAUAUUAGGCAGAACAUCAGUGGCGAAGGCGACUAUCUGGACAGCAACUGACACUGAGGCACGAAAGCGUGGGGAGCAAACAGGAUUAGAUACCCUGGUAGUC